CAGUAGCCGCGGUAAUACGGAGGGAGCUAGCGUUGUUCGGAAUUACUGGGCGUAAAGCGCGCGUAGGCGGUUACUCAAGUCAGAGGUGAAAGCCCGGGGCUCAACCCCGGAACUGCCUUUGAAACUAGGUGACCAGAAUCUUGGAGAGGUCAGUGGAAUUCCGAGUGUAGAGGUGAAAUUCGUAGAUAUUCGGAAGAACACCAGUGGCGAAGGCGACUGACUGGACAAGUAUUGACGCUGAGGUGCGAAAGCGGGGGGAGCAAACAGGAUUAGAUACCCCCGUAGUCCCUGUCUCUUAUAC
rnacentral:rRNA from 1 species